AUGGCCCAUGCAAGAAGCAUCCUCAUACCCACGUACUACCUGAUCAGCUGCUACAUCUUAUUUCUAGCCGCCUACGCGACUCCUCGCGCCGCCGCGCUGUCCUUCGACUACGACUUCACUGUCCCGAGGGACCGCAAGCAGCUCAAAUUCAUCAACGCCUCCUACGCCGGCCGCGACCGGAUCAUCCUCACCGACGACAGCUCCAACCUCACCGGCCGCGUCGUGCACCGAAAGCCCGUGCGCCUCUGGGACGACCGCACCGGCAGGAGGGCUAGCUUCACCACCAGCUUCCGCUUCGCCAUCGUCCAGGACAGCGACAGGACGGACAACCUCUCACGGGGCGACGGCAUGGCGUUCUUCCUCGGGCCCUUCCCGGCGACGACCCCUCCACCCGGCUCGGACGGCGGCCUCCUCGGGCUCUUCAGCAACCCCAACAGCACGGGGACCGCCGACUCGCGCCGCCCGCCGCACACCCUCGCUGUCGAAUUCGACACUCGCUGGAACCACGGUUGGGAUCCCUCGAACGGGGACGGCGCCAGCGGUGGCGACCACAUCGGCGUCGACGUCAACGGCAUCAGGUCCAACCGGACCAGAAGCCUGCCGCCGUUCAGCCUACAUGGAAUCAUGUUGGCGAGCGUCACGUACGACGGCGAGUCCAAGGUGAUGAAGGUGGCGCUUCGGAAAACCGAGCUGGCGUCCGAGUCGAGCACUACGUACGAGUUCAACGCCACCAUGGAUCUCAGAGACAACGCCGGCCUUGUACAGGACGCCGCCGUCGGGUUCUCCGCGGCCACCGGUGUCCUUUGCGAGUCGCACCAGCUGCUCGCUUGGUCCUUCCACUCCACAGAUCCAUCUCACACAGAGACAAAAAUGUGGGUGAUAUUCCUAGCUGUUUCGGCAGUUUUAUUAGCCGGUUUACUAGCGGCUCUUCUCGCUCUUCUCUAUACUAAAUUUAUGAAAAGGCCAAGACGGUGCCUCGAUGGAAAUUGUUUGCAAGUUGCAAGAAAAUUCUCCUACUCUGAGCUGGUAGCGGCGACAGACAACUUCUCGCAAGAUAGGAAGAUCGGCAAGGGUUCCUUCGGUGACGUGUACAGAGGGUUGCUACUUGUGCCAGACCUGCGGGAGGUGGCGGUGAAGGAGAUGCGGCAUCCAACAUUGAAGCAGAACCGGAAGAACUACGUGCAUGAGAUCGAGACCAUAUGCCAGCUGCGCCAUAAGAACCUCCUACGGCUCAUCGGAUGGUGCGACGAUGGUGGCCGGUUGGUGCUCGUCUACGAGCUCGAACCCAACGGUAGCGUCAGCGACCAUCUCCAUGAUGGCGGCGCUAGUGGGAGAAUAUUGACAUGGCCGCAGAGGUACAAUAUCCUUCUCGGUAUCGCAGCCGCCAUUGACUACCUCCACAAUGGUGCCUAUGACUCAACAAAGAGGUACGUGUUGCACCGGGACAUAAAGCCCAGCAACGUGAUGCUGGGAGAGGGCUUUGAGGCCAAGCUCGGCGACUUUGGACUCGUAAGACAGGUCAUCCGCCAUGGAGGCGGGGGUACUCCUCGGACAACCGUUAUCGGGAGUACGGACUACAUGGACCCCAAGUACAUCGAGCUCGGCACGCUGAGCUCUGCCUCUGAUAUAUACAGCUUUGGGUUGGUGCUGCUAGAGGUGGCCACUGGCGUGAGACCGUCCGUCCCGGGAACGGCAGCACACCGGAACACCCUCAUCGCGGCCGUCACGGAGUCUCACAGCAGAAAAGCCAUCCUCGAGAUGGUGGAUGAGCGGCUGAGAGGGGAGUUGAAUCAGUGGUGGUGGCAGAUGGAGCGUGUCAUGAUCACCGGGCUAACAUGUGUCGAGACGGCGCGUGACGACCGUCCAUCUAUCAAAGAUGUCAUCGACCUGCUCUCCAAGCACGAGCAAUCUCCGGCAUCUAGCCAUUACCUCAAAGAUACUUCAAUGAGGCACAAGGAUUGA
rnacentral:rRNA from 1 species